UACACUUUAAAAAGAAAAAACCCAGAAAACAGUAUUUCUGUUUCAUCCCUCCAGACUCCUGCAUCUAUCACCCGUAAAUCAUUAGCAACCUUAUGAAAUGCUGCAGAGAUGGCUUCUGUGGUAGAGAGAUGAGUAUAAAAAGAAAAGCUGCCAACAAUCACACAGCCACUGAGGAGGCCGGUUUGCUGUUGCAGCACUACCCUGAUCCACCACUAGGGGCACAUGCUGGAGUGACGCUGCAGGAGGCGGUCCCCAAACCCUGACCGGAGAGACCUUAGUGGACAGGUUUCCGGCGCUCAUGAGCCGCAAGGACCAGUUCCCCGUGCGGGACAAACAAAAAUAGCAUCAAAAAUAAAUCUUAGCAACUCUUACGUGCUUUUUUUCAGGAUUUAAAAAAAAACUACAAGAACUUUUGCGUUUGAUAUUCUCAGGUCAAAUCAGUAAACUGGCUCCAAAAGUGGACAGUUUCGUUCAUAGCGAGAAGUCACAGAUUCUUUCAAUGUAGGCUGUUAUUUUUAAAGAAUUUGCUAAAGAAUCGUACAUUUGGUUGUUUCCAGAUGUGAAAAUUAGCAAAAAAGGGACAAUCUGCUUAUAAAGCUAAAACGAAGUCAACCUCCCCCAGCCAU
rnacentral:lncRNA from 1 species